rnacentral:rRNA from 1 species
CCUACGGGAGGCAGCAGUGAGGAAUAUUGGUCAAUGGGCGAGAGCCUGAACCAGCCAAGUCGCGUGAGGGAGUACUGCCCUAUGGGUUGUAAACCUCUUUUGUCGGGGAGCAAAAGCCGGACGUGUCCGGCUGUGAGAGUACCCGAAGAAAAAGCAUCGGCCAACUACGUGCCAGCAGCCGGGGUAAGACGGAGGAUGCGAGCGUUAUCCGGAUUUAUUGGGGUUAAAGGGGGCGCAGGCGGAUUUUUAAGUCAGCGGUCAAAUCGUGGGGCUCAACCCCAUCCAGCCGUUGAAACUGGGGAUCUAGAGUGUGCGAGAGGUAUGCGGAAUGCGUGGUGUAGCGGUGAAAUGCAUAGAUAUCACGCAGAACCCCGAUUGCGAAGGCAGCAUACCGGUGCACAACUGACGCUCAGGCACGAAAGCGUGGGUAUCGAACAGGAUUAGAUACCCGGGUAGUC